UACAGUGAAACUCAUUUUUCCAAAUACAGGGAAGACCCCUGAUGUUCCAUCAUCUGAAUGUGAUCUUCAAAAGGAAUUUGGAAUCGGAAUUGUGGUUGGAAUUUUAAUUGGAGUGCUAGUUGGGGUUCUUGGGACAUUGGGGUACAAUACGAAGCAGACAAACAGACACAAUCCUGGCCCCCAAACAGUGGCAUGUCAAAUAGUUCCUUUACACGAGGCUGGUGGAGAUCAUGCUGAGGAAGAACAAGAAUUUCAAGGGGGUGCUUAAGGUGAAGGUGAAGACAUUAAGCAUAAAUAUUCAAUGCCCCAGAAUACUGUUUGAGAUUGUUAUAGAUGAUUUUUUUUGUUUGUAAACACGGUGUUGUGAGGAGGGGAAAGACACUGGCAGCCAACCAUGUGAGCAAAUUUUUUGACUGACAGGGGUUUCCAACAAUCAGAGGUGGAGUUGUGCGCAGAUAGUUUCACACAGUCAGGAGAAAACAAAAAUUGAGAACCCAUCUAUAUAGAGCAUAGAGGUAGAAAAUAACACUAGAGGUGACCCCGCCCCCUUUUUUCUG